GGGUGGUUGGGUAGAGCUGGCUGUGGCUCCAGUGGCCGCUGGAGACCUCGACUUCCAGCAGAGAUUCUGGACACAGGUUGCUGUGCACCCAGGGGUCCUGGAAGAGGCUCUAUCCUGGGUUGUUGAUUGAUUGAUUGAUUGAUUGAGGCAGGGUCUCACUCUGUCACCCAGGCUAUGCCUGGCUAAUUUUUGUAUUUUUAGUAGAG
rnacentral:lncRNA from 1 species